AGUGAACGCUGGCGGUAGGCCUAACACAUGCAAGUCGAACGGCAGCACAGUAAGAGCUUGCUCUUACGGGUGGCGAGUGGCGGACGGGUGAGGAGUACAUCGGAAUCUACUUUUUCGUGGGGGAUAACGUAGGGAAACUUACGCUAAUACCGCAUACGACCUACGGGUGAAAGCAGGGGAUCUUCGGACCUUGCGCGAUUGAAUUAGCCGAUGUCGGAUUAGCUAGGUGGCGGGGUAAAGGCCCACCAAGGCGACGAUCCGUAGCUGGUCUGAGAGGAUGAUCAGCCACACUGGAACUGAGACACGGUCCAGACUCCUACGGGAGGCAGCAGUGGGGAAUAUUGGACAAAGGGCGCAAGCCUGAUCCAGCCAUACCGCGUGGGUGAAGAAGGCCUUCGGGUUGUAAAGCCCUUUUGUUGGGAAAGAAAAGCAGCAGGUUAAUACCCCGCUGUUCUGACGGUACCCAAAGAAUAAGCACCGGCUAACUUCGUG
rnacentral:rRNA from 1 species